CCCAAACCCCCCUCCCUCCCUCCGGGGUGGGUGGCGGGGCGGCCGCCCCCGAAAUGAAUUGGCGGUCUCGCCGCAGCCUCCUCUGCGUAGUAGCACAAAAACAACUCGCAACGGGAGCGCGGCGCGGCCACUGCCGUAAAACGCACACAACUUCUUUUAGAGUUGACCUCGGAUCAGGUAGGAAUACCCGCUGAACUUAA
rnacentral:misc_RNA from 1 species